ensembl:lncRNA
GUGUAUUUACAUACAUAAAAUUCAAACUAUGAAAAUAGCCAUUUUAUUCCAGUAAUAAAAUGCUGAUAAACAUAAUAUAUCAUUUGAAAUUUGGUGGAAAUGACAUUGCACAGUAAAUGUUCAAGAUUUUCCUGUGAUGUCUUUAUUGAUGUUAAAUGAUCAUUAGUAAAGAAAUUAAAUAAGAUGGGUUGUAAGAGUGAUUAUUUCCUGAAAGUACACAGUGCCAAAAAUACCCAUAGUUGAAGAAACAUCAAUAUCAAUAUCAGCAUUAACUUAUGAUCCAAAAUCUGUAAGUGUCUCUUGUGAUUUAGUCACUAUUAUCGGUUUCAAAUUACUGUUAAAAUAUAAUGAAAUAAUAAACUGUAUAAAAAUGAAAUUAAAGAACCAAUAAAUACACAACAGCAUGGAAAAAGCAGGAAAAAAAUAAACAAUUUCAGAGAAAGACUCUUUAAAUGGAAAUACAUUUUUGUAAAUCCUAAUAUUAGCAGAAAUAUUGUCAUCUUCACUCCAAACAGAGCAAAUACAGUCACAAACCCCAUCGAGAGCAUCACUCCAACGAAACAGAACAGGAAUAACUUGAGUGCAAAAAUGAGAGUUGUACGAGCUUGCAUUUGAUCAGGUAUAAUGGAGUAAACCGUGUAUAAAUGAGCCCCGAAUGUGACUCCGGGAGCAGCGUGGCACGCUAUGAUCACAUCUGACCACGUCCGUACACUGACCGCUGUUCCUACAGUCAGUCCUAGACCGGCUAUGAACACUAUACUGGGAAAUGUAAAGAUCAUGACUAAAAACAUUAUGAUUUGGUGUCCAUGUCGUGAAUUUGCGAAGUCUUUAUAUGCAGAGGCUACUGUGAAAGUUGAGGAUACAAUCAAAUUUAAAGGAACAGAAACAUCUGGAUUGAGAGUCUCUCUUAAAGUGACGGUAAAAAUAACAAGCACGAAGAGUAUUUCCGCAAAAUGAAAAUGGUCAUGUCUUACUUUAGUGAAAAUAAAAGCAGUGUUCAGUAAAAUUAGUAAAAUCCAUCGUGCAGUUCCUGCUGAAUUGUCAUGUUUUUCAGGGAGCAUCUUAUUUUCUUCAUGCACACUUUGACUGGACUCUUCUGCAUCCAACCCUUGAGUCACUACUGAGUAAAAUCUGUGAUCGUUGAGCCAAACUAACUUGUGUAUUUCUGCUACGAGAGCUGCUCUUUGAGCAGGUUUAGGUUCAGAGUCUCUUAUGAUGAGAAAUCUUCCUCCACAUGCGUCGAUCAUUUCUCUGGAGGCUCCUGUGAAAGGUUCCUGGUGAUUUUGCAGCAGAAGAACAAUGCAGUACUGCAGGACUUCUGCUCCCAGCAGCUCCUGAGCUCGUUUCACAAUAUCACACUGUUGUGAUUGUUGAUCUUCCAGAUUCAGGAGCAUUAGAACGGCGUGAGGUCCAGGAGACGAGAGAAACAGUGCUGUUAUGAAGGUCUGUCUCUCUGUGUCCUCCUCACAGAGGUUCGGUCCAGUGAUCAGCAUCAUUCUACGAGCCUCGUCUGUAAUUACUGGAGUCUUUACAAUCUCUCUGUCCUCCUGUCCACCGUCUUUCCUUCCUGACAGAAGAUCUGCAGCACUGAAUCUGGACUGACCUCGGAUUCCCACCAUCAGGAUCCUCACCUCGUCAUCAUCAUCAUUAUGAGAAGCUGGAAGAGAAAGUGAAACAAUUAUUGCCAAUGCGGUAAAAAACAUACUCAAACACUUUGAACUUUGGAGCAGUUCUCCUCUCUCCACACAACAUGCUCCUCAGCAAAGGUGAGUCCUGCCUUCCGAUUCUUUCAGUUGAUGAGAGGCUUGGUCACUGCAGUGUGCUUUCAGUCCGACGUCUCUUAAACAUGCCGAGACAGAUCCAGACCCUGUUCAGCUCUGAGCCGGAGAGCAAUUCCAGCUGCAGUGUUGAACCGAUUCACCAUUGAGAGUCUCUGCAUUAUCCUCUCUUCUCAUGCAUUUGUCUUACAUGAUGACCAGCCUUUUUGGUGGUCUUGAAUGAAUUAAUGUCAUCAUAAACCUGUUAUAUUUAAGAAAUCACAGAUUUGGAACCACCAGUCCCUUUGGCCUUCAUCUGGUUGGCCUCUUGUUUAAGGGUUUCAGUCACCUUAGAGCAGACCGCUAUAUAGCAAUCUCAGUGAAAAUUGGAGCAAUGCUGCCAGUUCAAUAGAGUUUGUCAGAUAAUUAAGGAAAUUAGUACCAUGUGCCAGAUUAACACCAAUAACUUUUAGGUAUCUGUAAGCGUUCUCUAAUUUUGGUCAGAAUUCUUUUUAAAAUAUCUCAUUUAAAUUUGUUAUACUGUGCUUCAGAAUACAAUUAAUUUAUGAAAUAUGCUUAAAAACUGCUCUUCUAUUCCUUUUAGGAUAACUUCAGAUAGGACUAAGCUGUGACCUUGAAAUCUAGGAAAUUACAGAUUCAGGAGCAUUAGAACGGCGUGAGGUCCAGGAGACGAGAGAAACAGCGCUG